rnacentral:rRNA from 1 species
GUGGGGAAUAUUGUACAAUGGGCGAAAGCCUGAUGCAGCGACGCCGCGUGAGCGAUGAAGUAUUUCGGUACGUAAAGCUCUAUCAGCAGGGAAGAUAAUGACGGUACCUGACUAAGAAGCACCGGCUAAAUACGUGCCAGCAGCCGCGGUAAUACGUAUGGUGCAAGCGUUAUCCGGAUUUACUGGGUGUAAAGGGAGCGUAGGCGGCGUGGUAAGUCAGAAGUGAAAGCCCGGGGCUCAACCCCGGGACUGCUUUUGAAACUAUCAUGCUAGAGUGUCGGAGAGGUAAGGGGAAUUGCCGGUGUAGCGGUGAAAUGCGUAGAGAUCGGGAGGAACACCAGUGGCGAAGGCGGCUUACUGGACUGUAACUGACGCUGAGGCGCGAAAGUGUGGGGAGCAAACAGGAUUAGAAACCCUGGUAGUCC